UACGUAGGGCGCAAGCGUUGUCCGGAAUUAUUGGGCGUAAAGAGCUCGUAGGCGGCUUGUCACGUCGGGUGUGAAAGCCCGGGGCUUAACCCCGGGUCUGCAUUCGAUACGGGCUAGCUAGAGUGUGGUAGGGGAGAUCGGAAUUCCUGGUGUAGCGGUGAAAUGCGCAGAUAUCAGGAGGAACACCAGUGGCGAAGGCGGAUCUCUGGGCCAUUACUGACGCUGAGGAGCGAAAGCGUGGGGAGCGAACGGG
rnacentral:rRNA from 1 species